GCCUUGGUAGUGAAAUGAUAGACAUGUGAGACUCAAAAUCUCGUCCUAAAGAACGUGGAGGUUCAAGUCCUCUUUAAGGCA
rnacentral:tRNA from 1 species